AAAGCGUGCGCAGGCGGCUUUGCAAGACAGAGGUGAAAUCCCCGGGCUCAACCUGGGAACUGCCUUUGUGACUGCAAGGCUAGAGUACGGCAGAGGGGGAUGGAAUUCCGCGUGUAGCAGUGAAAUGCGUAGAUAUGCGGAGGAACACCAAUGGCGAAGGCAAUCCCCUGGGCCUGUACUGACGCUCAUGCACGAAAGCGUGGGGAGCAAACAGGAUUAGAUACCCCAGU
rnacentral:rRNA from 1 species